UGUGGGAGCGAGCCUGCUCGCGAUGGCGGUGUGUCAGCCGAGAUUUUGAUCAACCGACGCACCGCCAUCGCGAGCAGGCUCGCUCCCACA
rnacentral:misc_RNA from 1 species